UAUUUGGAGAAAAGGGGGCCACUUAUGGUGGUUUUUGGCUCUAAUUGCAAGAUAUUAUGUAAAAAUAAUAUCUUGCAAUCAAUUAGAAAAUUAAUUAAUUAGGAAAUUAAUCAAUUAAUUUAGGUAAUUAAUCCUAAUUUGAAUGAAUAAUUGAGGGUUACCUUGUGGGGAGGAUUUGAUGAGGAUGGAUGAAAUAGGUUUUGAAUAAAUACCUAUUUUGAUCACUUUUGAUCUUGAUUGAGUAGUGAUUGUCUGUUGCUUGUGCGUGGGAGUUCCAGUGUGCCUCGAGGGUAAUUUUGUCUUUUUAACCCAAAAAUCCACGUGUCGCCACCAUAUUUUUCUUGAUUAUUUUUUGCUCAACAAAUGCCCCUACACCAGUUGGGCUACUCACAGGAAUGGGCAGCAGGUGUAGAGUUCUUCUUAUUUUAGGAAACAUAGGAUUGUUUCCUGUUUUGAUGUAGAUUCCCUUUUAAUUGGAAAUUAGGUCCUUCUAGUAAAGGGAAAUAAAUUACUUCUAAAGUCUAUUUAAGUCUACCUUAAGUAGAUUAUUAAAUAAACUAUAGAGCAAUUUAUUCUACCCUACAAGAGAGAGAGAGUUAGAGGAUAUUUGUUCCCCCUCCCUUAGCAAUCUUCUACACUUGCCUGUGCAAAGGAUCGUCUUUCGUUACUUUCUUUGUUUUCACACCGCUCCAAGGUAAGAAAAAAAUUA
rnacentral:lncRNA from 1 species